rnacentral:lncRNA from 1 species
CGGGGGUCGCGUGACGCCAGGUGGACGGGGGCUCGUGCCCCGGCGGGCGCUGAGGUGGUUCUGGCGGUCGGGGGGUGUUGUCGUGCUGCUCAGCACAGCUUUCGUUCCUCUGUACUCGGCGGAGUUUUUAUGCGUUGCCCUCAGGUGGGAUGAAUUUGACUGCAACAAAAGUCCACUGAGAUGCGUCAGUGUUUCCCGAAGGCUCUUAAUCUCUUAUAACUUCCUCUCCUUUUGGGGGCAGAGCUCCCAUCAGUGCGUACCGCACUGCAGCUGAUGGCGUUCACCCUCUGACACUUUGUUUCUGCUCGAUGUAACGCGAGGGUUUGGGGCGCCGCAGAACUACGUGGUUUCAUGGCAUCGUUUUUAGUUUAGAUCGGCAAAUCGUUAACAAUUACUUUCUGCUUAUCCGUAUCUUCGGAGUCUGGGGACGAGAUCCUUCCUCUUGCGAUCCAUCGGCACCUGAAGGAUCUCUGAAAGGAAACCGGUGGAACGUGUGAGGGCUUCCUCUGGCGGAAAAGAACAAGACGAAAUAAGGCACUAGGGAAGCUAAUGUGAGACACUAGUGCCCAAAUCACUUUAGACACGACUGAUAUGGCUGAUGAGGAGAAUCCAGCUGACAUAGAGGUCCAUAUGUGAGGAAAACAGCCACCUUCAGGUGGUGCAGACACAGCAGGGCUGAGCCACCAGGGCCAGCAGAAACACGGCCCAUUGUCAGAGCAGAGCUGGUUAAGAAUGUCCCAGAGCAAACUCAUGCCUCUUGCAACUUCAGUCCUGUGUGUGCAUCAUUCCCACAGCUCAAUAAGUCUCCAACCCUUCUCAGCCCCUUACCUGGGCACGCACUCUCCUCACAAA